GCGACACUAGCUCCGUUGGUAGAGCGCAACCGUGCCAAGGUUGAGGUCACGAGUUCGAACCUCGUGUGUCGCUCCA
rnacentral:tRNA from 1 species